UACGUAGGGUGCGAGCGUUGUCCGGAAUUAUUGGGCGUAAAGAGCUUGUAGGCGGUUUGUCGCGUCUGCUGUGAAAUCUCAAGGCUCAACCUUGAGCUUGCAGUGGGUACGGGCAGACUAGAGUGUGGUAGGGGAGACUGGAAUUCCUGGUGUAGCGGUGAAAUGCGCAGAUAUCAGGAGGAACACCGAUGGCGAAGGCGGCUCACUGGCCCGGUACUGACGCUGAGGUGCGAAAGCGUGGGGAGCAAGCAGG
rnacentral:rRNA from 1 species